CUCUUUUUUUUUUGAUAAUGCCCCAGUUGGCUGUUCCGCUGAUUCUCGAGAUGCAGCUGAGUGAUCUUCUUUUCUUGCUCAAGAAGUCGGGAAAUCUCGUCAGGAAUCCCUUCAACAUCAUCUUCGUCCGCUUCAAAUACAGGGAAUUCAAAAUUGGGAGAUGAAUGCUCAAGAAGUCGGGAAAUCUCGUCAGGAAUCCCUUCAACAUCAUCUUCGUCCGCUUCAAAUACAGGGAAUUCAAAAUUGGGAGAUGACGUCCGAUCAUUAUGUUCAAUGGGUUUGAGAAAC
rnacentral:lncRNA from 1 species